rnacentral:lncRNA from 1 species
AUCCCUAAGUAAUAGGAGUCUCGGCCUCUUGCGUGUAGCCUCACGAGCUCUGAGAAAUGGGGAGCGGCCCCCAGCCCCCGCCCCAUCCUGUCAGGUUGGUGCGGAAGGGUGGGAGCCUUGAGCCCUUCCCUUCGGUGCCUGCCGGAAUCUUCCCUAUUCCCCUCCCUGGCCCCACAUCCCCAACCCUGCUGCUGGAGUGCUCUCGCGAACCCCUGCUGUCGCCUGGAAAAAAAAAGUGCCCAGGCUGCUGACGCAAAAAGAAAA